UCGAGCGAUCUUCUUCGGAAGAGAGCGGCGGACGGGUGAGUAACGCGUGGGUAACCUGCCCUGUACACACGGAUAACAUACCGAAAGGUAUGCUAAUACGAGAUAAUAUGCUUUUAUCGCAUGGUAGAAGUAUCAAAGCUCCGGCGGUACAGGAUGGACCCGCGUCUGAUUAGCUAGUUGGUAAGGUAACGGCUUACCAAGGCGACGAUCAGUAGCCGACCUGAGAGGGCGAUCGGCCACAUUGGAACUGAGACACGGUCCAAACUCCUACGGGAGGCAGCAGUGGGGAAUAUUGCACAAUGGGCGAAAGCCUGAUGCAGCAACGCCGCGUGAGCGAUGAAGGCCUUCGGGUCGUAAAGCUCUGUCCUCAAGGAAGAUAAUGACGGUACUUGAGGAGGAAGCCCCGGCUAACUACGUGCCAGCAGCCGCGGUAAUACGUAGGGGGCUAGCGUUAUCCGGAAUUACUGGGCGUAAAGGGUGCGUAGGUGGUUUCUUAAGUCAGAGGUGAAAGGCUACGGCUCAACCGUAGUAAGCCUUUGAAACUGGGAAACUUGAGUGCAGGAGAGGAGAGUGGAAUUCCUAGUGUAGCGGUGAAAUGCGUAGAUAUUAGGAGGAACACCAGUUGCGAAGGCGGCUCUCUGGACUGUAACUGACACUGAGGCACGAAAGCGUGGGGAGCAAACAGGAUUAGAUACCCUGGUAGUCCACGCCGUAAACGAUGAGUACUAGCUGUCGGAGGUUACCCCCUUCGGUGGCGCAGCUAACGCAU
rnacentral:rRNA from 1 species